rnacentral:lncRNA from 1 species
AAAGCUGCAUGGCAUCGUUUGAGAGAGGAUCGAACAACUGUAAAAAUCUAUAAAAGCAUAUUUGAAAUCGACAAAGCACAUUACUACAGAUUCAGAAUCCAUCAAUCUCAUUUUACCUAUUAAACAAUAACUGAAUUCUAGCCUCUAAAGAAAUAAAAAUAGCUGAAAGUGGUAUAUUGAUUUUGAAGCAAAUAUGAUCAAUUUAUUUUACUAAAAAAAAAUAAACUCACAAAAAAGUUUGAUGGAAAACUUUAUUCACAUGAUCUUAUUCCCUGUAAGCAUGCCAUUUAAGAUAACAGACACAAACUCGGCACAUCAACGGUACCGGAGUUCAAAUCCAAACAAACAUCGUCCAUCUUCCAACUCUAAGAUUUGAUUAGAAGAAGCAGUAGCCAAGGUGACAUAGAGUAAUCUGAAAGCAGUCAAUAAUCCUCAACCAUCACUAAUAUUUAGAUUCAUACCUACAAGCAUCAAGGGUAAUAGGUAAGAAAUUGAACAUGAAAGAGCUUUCAAUUGAUGUUUGAACUAAUUAGCAGAGGUACAAGGCUAACCGUACACGAACACGAUGGAACCUCGAGCAACAGCUGAGAACUCGACUCGGCACCACGAAUCGCGAAUCGAAUGCGAACUCAAAUCAUAAUUUCAGUUGAAUUCCAUUUUUUGCAACUGAAAAUUGAAUUUGAAAGAGGAGACGAGAAUCUUUUGUCCGAAAAUCCCCUUAAUUUUUCGUCAACUCUCUCCUACCUCCAAAAUCAAUAGAACUUCAGCCUCUAUUCCAUUUUAGUCCCUUGGUUCUCUGUAUAUGGCUGUGUGUGUCUUUGGAUGAGGGGUUGUGAUUUUGGUUGAAGAAGAAACAGAAUCUUCAGGGGUUGUUUGGGGUAUCAACGUUCUUGUGAGAAAAUAGGUUGUUUCCAAGAUGAAAAUAUCCGG